GGAGGGAUGGCUGAGCGGCUAAAAGCGGCGCCCUGCUAAGGCGUUGGUCCUCCCUCCGUGACUCCCUCCG
rnacentral:tRNA from 1 species